GUACACUCCUGCGGGAGGCAGCAGUGGGGAAUAUUGGACAAUGGGCGCAAGCCUGAUCCAGCCAUGCCGCGUGAGUGAUGAAGGCCCUAGGGUUGUAAAGCUCUUUCACCGGUGAAGAUAAUGACGGUAACCGGAGAAGAAGCCCCGGCUAACUUCGUGCCAGCAGCCGCGGUAAUACGAAGGGGGCUAGCGUUGUUCGGAUUUACUGGGCGUAAAGCGCACGUAGGCGGACUAUUAAGUCAGGGGUGAAAUCCCGGGGCUCAACCCCGGAACUGCCUUUGAUACUGGUAGUCUUGAGUUCGAGAGAGGUGAGUGGAAUUCCGAGUGUAGAGGUGAAAUUCGUAGAUAUUCGGAGGAACACCAGUGGCGAAGGCGGCUCACUGGCUCGAUACUGACGCUGAGGUGCGAAAGCGUGGGGAGCAAACAGGAUUAGAAACCCCGGUAGUCCCAU
rnacentral:rRNA from 1 species